rnacentral:lncRNA from 1 species
UUUUUUAACCCAUUAUUAUUCAUAAUAUUUAUAUUAUCUAAUUUUAAGUGGGAAUAAAUAAUUCAAAUAUUACAGAUGUCGUGGUCUAACACCCCUCCUGCCCAACAAGGGGUAAAUCAUCUCACUUUAUUCUUUUGUCUUGGUGCAUGAGUUGGAACCAUUUUUGAGGAUCCAUGUUUUCAGCAGAUAAUUAAAGUAAGACUUAAAUUAACAUAAAGAUCCAGAAGUACGUGCUCUUCGAUAUUACCGAUAAGAUUUUCAAAUCCAAAGGACCACAUCGAGCAUUUUCCCACCGACACUGCAGCAACUGCUCUGCGGGCCCUCUUUUAUUCUUUUAUCAACGCAGGCUGCUUUUUCGGCAUCUGCUCUGUGCUGCUAUGACUUCCGCCUCCUAUUAUGUUCAAUUUUUUUUAAAUGGGUUUUAGUUUUAAAAAAAAAACAAAUUGAGCUAUUGUUUUUUGAAUAAUUUUAAUAAGAAGAUGUCAACAUUACCUGGAGACCAUUAAAAAGAAUUAGUGAAAUAAAAUAAAUAUGUUUAAGGGCAGAUGAGAUUUAUGAUACGCUGAGAAAGUCGGGAGGACUUGGCGAAGAAAAACUGGUAUGUAGCUGAAACUAGGAGGCAGGGCAUGUGGAAUCAUUUGAUUAACUAGCCCUUGUAUUUUAGCUUCUAGCAGCUCCUGCUGGGGCACCAAUUCGUGUAAAGAAAAUCUGAGAACUUGUGGAGACAGCCAUACAGUUAUGAAGUUUGCUCCAGAGAUUUGACUGUUUCACCAGUGGUUGGUGUUCAUGCAUAGAUUAUUGGUGACCGAUUGUCCUACAAUAUUUUGGAAAUUCAGUAUCAUAAAGCAUCUUAAUCUAGUUCUGGAUAUAUACCAAUAAGACAGCUGCUCUACACUUCAACUUGAAGUUUAAUCUGAGUUAAAACAUGUCAAGCUAACCUCUGUUUGCAUGCCUCCCUUAUAACAUCAUCCGAGCAGCUGAAAUCCUCCACAGCAUAUGCUUAUUGGCUUUGCUUUCCUUGAGUGGGUUGUUCUGAUUUAUGUUGUGGAAAAUUUAAAACUAUGGCUGCCUUUAUUUUGAUGCUGUUAUAAAAGACGGCGUUCAGGGUGCAGUGAGUCGGUCAUCGAAUGUUAAUAUUCGAGCUACAACUCGUCGGUGAGGAUCUUCCACGCUCGGGGUCUGCUCAACUGGGAACUCAAGAAUCAAGAUUAGUUUUGCAGUACUCACUGGGAUCAUCGUAUGAACAGGAAUCACCUUGAAGGUAUUUGUUUUUAUUUAUAGCUUAGUUUACUAUGCUUCUAUUAUUUACACUAGCAUAGAGAUUCACUUGCAAAGAAACUACAUAAAGAGUAAUAUUCAGAUAGUAGAUGAGGGCUUCAAGAAAACUUAGAACUAUUCACUAGCAGAUGAGAUGGACUAGAUCCAGAAUCCUGCACACAAGAUCCAUCUAUAUAUUCAUAACACAAUAAAGAGAUAGAUCCGCGUGCGUGUGUAUACAUGCAGGAAAAGUAUACAAACCAGAUAAACAGGCCAUGAGAAGCAGAGUGACGAGGAGAGGGAGGAAUGAUCGGAAACCUAUGGGAUGGGUGGAGUAGGGAAAAUAACAAGUAGCAUCUCACAAAUCAAAGUUAUCUUCCCCGCUCACCCACCCGAUAACCUUCCGAAAAUCCUACUCCCUCUCCAUUUCCUCCCAUAUAUGUUGACUUACAAGCGGCUACCGAAGCAGUCAUGAACACUUAUUCUGGCCUUCCAUCCUUUUAUAUUGUGUUGCCAAUUCGCAACCCUAGCUACUUUAGUUUUUCACCGCCAGAUCAAGGGCAUCUCUUUGGGAAAACAAUGAUCUUGGCCGUUCAUUUCUACCUUUUAGUCAAUGAACAUGGAAUGCUUUGGCAGUUGCUUUUCACCUUUCCC